GCCUUCGGGUUGUAAAGCUCUUUCGGCAGGGAAGAAACGGACACNGNUAAUACCUGUGUCUAAUGACGGUACCUGACUAAGAAGCACCGGCUAACUACGUGCCAGCAGCCGCGGUAAUACGUAGGGUGCGAGCGUUAAUCGGAAUUACUGGGCGUAAAGCGUGCGCAGGCGGUUUUGUAAGUCAGAUGUGAAAUCCCCGGGCUUAACCUGGGAACUGCGUUUGAAACUGCAAGGCUAGAGUACGGCAGAGGGGGGUAGAAUUCCACGUGUAGCAGCGAAAUGCGUAGAUAUGUGGAGGAAUACCGAUGGCGAAGGCAGCCCCCUGGGUCGAUACUGACGCUCAUGCACGAAAGCGUGGGGAGCAAACAGGAUUAGAUACCCUGGUAGUCCACGCCCUAAACGAUGUCAACUAGUUGUCGGGGAGGUGACCUCUUUGGUAACGCAGCUAACGCGUGAAGUUGACCGCCUGGGGAGUACGGUCGCAAGAUUAAAACUCAAAGGAAUUGACGGGGACCCGCACAAGCGGUGGAUUAUGUGGAUUAAUUCGAUGCAACGCGAAAAACCUUACCUACCCUUGACAUGUACCGAAGGCUGCUGAAAGGUGGCUUGUGCCUGAAAGGAACCGUAACACAAGUGCUGCAUGGCUGUCGUCAACUCGUGUCGUGAGAUGUUU
rnacentral:rRNA from 1 species